CGGCGAAUGCCGGGAAGGACUACACUGCCAAUGUGGAUGUCGCAGGUUCGAAUCCUGCCUGUCGG
rnacentral:tRNA from 1 species